rnacentral:misc_RNA from 1 species
AUCACUUGCCGAUAUGCGUGACAAGUGGCGCAAGAAGCGCGUCCGUCGUCUCAAACGCAAGCGCAGAAAGAUGCGCGCUCGCUCGAAGUAAACGACUCGCCCCGUAACACCGGCCGACUCGUCUCUACCUCUCGAACGAUGCACCCCAACCUCAUCCGCAUAACCUCCCUCUCCUCCAACUGACCUCAAACAAAAGGCGUCUCGACUCCCCUCUACUCUCCCAAUACUCGCUCUCGAUUCUCGACGGCACUUUCAAGAUCCGGCGCACGGCAAUCACCUUUUUCUCGACUCGGUUUUACAGAGGUGGGAAUGGGACGGUUGUAGGCGGUGGAUCUUGGGUUGCUUUCGGUUGUUCAGGGCAGGUGGAAGGAGGGCAAAGGAAGUUUCGG